AGAGUUUGAUCAUGGCUCAGGAUGAACGCUGGCGGCAGGCUUAAUACAUGCAAGUCGAACGGUAAGGCCGAGUGCAGCAAUGCAUGAGGUACACGAGUGGCGCACGGGUGCGUAACGCGUAUGCAACCUGCCCCCAACCGGGACAAAACAGCUGGAAACGGCUGCUAAUAUCCCAUGGCCACGCGGGAGGGCAUCCUCCUGUGUGUAAAGAUUCAUUGGUUGGGGAUGGGCAUGCGUAUUAUUAGGUAGUUGGCGGGGUAACGGCCCACCAAGCCGACGAUGAUUAGGGGUCCUGAGAGGGUUGACCCCCACACUGGAACUGAGACACGGUCCAGACUCCUACGGGAGGCAGCAGUAGGGAAUAUUGGGCAAUGGGAGCAAUCCUGACCCAGCCAUGCCGCGUGAAGGAAGACGGCCCUAUGGGUUGUAAACUUCUUUUGCCGCAGAGUAAACCCGGGGACGUGUCCCCGGUUGAGAGUAUGCGGCGAAUAAGUAUCGGCUAACUCCGUGCCAGCAGCCGCGGUAAUACGGAGGAUACAAGCGUUAUCCGGAUUUAUUGGGUUUAAAGGGUGCGCAGGCGGACCGUUAAGUCAGGGGUGAAAAGUUGGGGCUCAACUCCAAUCGUGCCUUUGAUACUGGCGGACUAGAGUGCGAUAGGCGUGGCCGGAAUGUGGCGUGUAGCGGUGAAAUGCUUAGAUAUGCCACAGAACACCGAUCGAGAAGUCAGGUCACGAGUUCGCAACUGACGCUCAUGCACGAAAGCGUGGGGAUCAAACAGGAUUAGAUACCCUGGUAGUCCACGCCGUAAACGAUGAUCACUCGUUGUCGGGGGGCGACCCUCGGUGGCCAAGCGAAAGCGAUAAGUGAUCCACCUGGGGAGUACGAUCGCAAGGUUGAAACUCAAAGGAAUUGACGGGGGCCCGCACAAGCGGAGGAGCAUGUGGUUUAAUUCGAUGAUACGCGAGGAACCUUACCCGGGCUUGAACGUAAGACGACGGCGCAGGAGACUGCGCUUCCUUAGGGC
rnacentral:rRNA from 1 species